GCCACAUCAUGUUGAAACACCAGUUCCCAUACAAUCACUGAAGUUAAGCAAUGUCAAGCCUGCUCAGUACCGAGUUGGGUGACUGCUUGGGAAUACCAGUUGCUGUAAG